rnacentral:rRNA from 1 species
AUUGAACGCUGGCGGCAGGCCUAACACAUGCAAGUCGAGCAGGCGACGGACAGGUGAGUAAGGUAUGGGGGAUGCCCGAUAACGGGGGGUAACUACUGGAAACGGUAGCUAAUACCGCAUACUAUCGGAUAACCCAUAUGGGAUUAGCUAGUAGGUGAGGUAAUGGCUCACCUAGGCGACGAUCCCUAGCUGGUCUGAGAGGAUGAUCAGCCACACGGGGACUGAGACACGGCCCAGACUCCUACGGAGGCAGCAGUGGGGAAUAUUGCACAAUGGGCGAAAGCCUGAUGCAGCCAUGCCGCGUGUAUGAAGAAGGCCCUAGGGUUGUAAAGUACUUUCAGUCGGGAGGCGUUACCGACAGAAUAAGCACCGGCUAACUCCGUGCCAGCAGCCGCGGUAAUUC